rnacentral:rRNA from 1 species
UACAGAGGGUGCGAGCGUUAAUCGGAAUUACUGGGCGUAAAGGGUGCGUAGGCGGAAGUUUAAGUUAGAUGUGAAAUCCCCGGGCUUAACCUGGGAAUUGCAUUUGAUACUGGACGUCUAGAGUAGAGUAGAGGGAAGUGGAAUUUCCGGUGUAGCGGUGAAAUGCGUAGAUAUCGGAAAGAACAUCAGUGGCGAAGGCGGCUUCCUGGACUCAUACUGACGCUGAGGCACGAAAGCAUGGGGAGCAAACAGG